rnacentral:rRNA from 1 species
UGGGGAAUAUUGCACAAUGGGCGCAAGCCUGAUGCAGCCAUGCCGCGUGUAUGAAGAAGGCCUUCGGGUUGUAAAGUACUUUCAGCGGGGAGGAAGGUGUUGAGGCUAAUAACCUCAGCAAUUGACGUUACCCGCAGAAGAAGCACCGGCUAACUCCGUGCCAGCAGCCGCGGUAAUACGGAGGGAGCAAGCGUUAAUCGGAAUUACUGGGCGUAAAGCGCACGCAGGCGGUCUGUCAAGUCGGAUGUGAAAUCCCCGGGCUCAACCUGGGAACUGCAUUCGAAACUGGCAGGCUAGAGUCUUGUAGAGGGGGGUAGAAUUCCAGGUGUAGCGGUGAAAUGCGUAGAGAUCUGGAGGAAUACCGGUGGCGAAGGCGGCCCCCUGGACAAAGACUGACGCUCAGGUGCGAAAGCGUGGGGAGCAAACA